rnacentral:rRNA from 1 species
UACAGGGGGUGCAAACGUUGCUCGGAAUCAUUGGGCGUAAAGCGCACGUAGGCGGUCUGUUAUGUCGGAUGUGAAAGCCCUUGGCUUAACUGAGGAAGUGCAUCCGAAACUGGCAGGCUAGAGUACUAAAGAGGGUCGCGGAAUUCCCGGUGUAGAGGUGAAAUUCGUAGAUAUCGGGAGGAACACCGGUGGCGAAGGCGACUACCUGGCCUGUUCUUGACGCUGAGGCGCGAAAGCUAGGGGAGCAAACGGG